UGGCAAUAAGCAAUGGAGUAAAAUUGUUCAACUUGGCUUUUCCAAAUGACUCAAUUCUAAGUCAGGGUUGAACAAAAUUACAUAGAAGAUUCCGAUGGGGUUAAUGAUAAAGUUGAAAGGAAUGGUGAAAUUGAUAAUAAAUACCCAAAACUUAAACAUAAAGGUGCAGAAAAAUGUUGAACAAUGUAUACAAUGGUCAAAGCAGAAAAAUGUCGAUUUCAUACAACGUAUUGUAUUGACUGAAGAAGCCAUCAAAUGUAAUCUUAGUAUUCCAACGAAACAAACGACGAUUAAUCAAUUUUUAAUUAGCACAUUACGUUCUUUAGGGUAACAUGCAUAAGCGCU